rnacentral:tRNA from 1 species
GUUCAUUGGGUGUUUAGCAUGAAUUUUUUUCGUAAAUUAGGUAAAUUUUAUUUAUUGAAUA